GACGAACGCUGGCGGCGUGCUUAACACAUGCAAGUCGAACGGAAAGGCCCUGCUUUUGUGGGGUGCUCGAGUGGCGAACGGGUGAGUAACACGUGAGUAACCUGCCCUUGACUUUGGGAUAACUUCAGGAAACUGGGGCUAAUACCGGAUAGGAGCUCCUGCUGCAUGGUGGGGGUUGGAAAGUUUCGGCGGUUGGGGAUGGACUCGCGGCUUAUCAGCUUGUUGGUGGGGUAGUGGCUUACCAAGGCUUUGACGGGUAGCCGGCCUGAGAGGGUGACCGGCCACAUGAGGACUGAGAUACGGCCCAGACUCCUACGGGAGGCAGCAGUGGGGAAUAUUGCACAAUGGGCGGAAGCCUGAUGCAGCAACGCCGCGUGCGGGAUGACGGCCUUCGGGUUAUAAACCGAUUUCGCCUGUGACGAAGAGUGAGUGACGGUAAUGGGUAAAGAAGCACCGGCUAACUACGUG
rnacentral:rRNA from 1 species